AACGAACGCUGGCGGCGUGUUUAAGACAUGCAAGUCGCACGGGAUAAGACAUGUAGUAAUACUUGUUUUAUUUAGUGGCGCACGGGUGAGUAACACGUGAAUUACAUGCCCUAUAGUGGGGAAUAGCCCAGGGAAACUUGGAUUAAUACCCCAUGGUAUCGAAAGAUUAAAUGUGGCCGCAAGGCUGUCGCUAUAGGAUUGGUUCGCGCCCUAUCAGCUUGUUGGUGAGGUAACGGCUCACCAAGGCAAUGACGGGUACCUGGUCUGAGAGGACGAUCAGGCACACUGGAACUGAGACACGGUCCAGACACCUACGGGUGGCAGCAGUCGAGAAUAAUUCACAAUGGGGGCAACCCUGAUGGUGCAACGCCGCGUGGAGGAUGACGGUCUUCGGAUUGUAAACUCCUGUCAUCUGGGAGAAAGACCUGACGGUAAAUAGCCGGCAGGGUUGGUAGUACCAGAAGAGGAAGGGACGGCUAACUUCGUGCCAGCCGCCGCUGUAA
rnacentral:rRNA from 1 species